UCAAAAACAGACUUGCUGAAU
rnacentral:piRNA from 1 species